rnacentral:rRNA from 1 species
UAGGAAUCUGCCUGGUAGUGGGGGAUAACGUUCCGAAAGGAACGCUAAUACCGCAUACGUCCUACGGGAGAAAGCAGGGGACCUUCGGGCCUUGCGCUAUCAGAUGAGCCUAGGUCGGAUUAGCUAGUUGGUGAGGUAAUGGCUCACCAAGGCGACGAUCCGUAACUGGUCUGAGAGGAUGAUCAGUCACACUGGAACUGAGACACGGUCCAGACUCCUACGGGAGGCAGCAGUGGGGAAUAUUGGACAAUGGGCGAAAGCCUGAUCCAGCCAUGCCGCGUGUGUGAAAGAAGGUCUUCGGAUUGUAAAGCACUUUAAGUUGGGAGGAAGGGCAUUAACCUAAUACGUUAGUGUUUUGACGUUACCGACAGAAUAAGC